rnacentral:lncRNA from 1 species
CGAUAGUAUGCUAUAGUAGAUAUUGGAUAUUUUGUUGGACUAACCCCUGCAGGAAAACUUUCAAUAUCGACCUGGGAAGUCCUGAGACAAACUCACAUUGGAGACAAAGAGAGAGGCACAUGAAGUUAAACAAUUUGCACUAGGAAGGCAUAGCUCAUAAGAGAUGAUCCAUGGAGGGUGCUACAAACACGAUGCACAACCGCUAAGAAAGGAAAGCUGCCACAAGGUGAUACUGUACCAACACUCUUCAAGUAAGGUAACAUCUUAAGGUACUUCACUAUCACUUUUAUAAGCUUCUCCUUGGUUCUGGCGUUCACAUGAAUAAAAGAGACAAACAUGUAUGAUUUACAACUCUAGAUUAACCAACCCAAUUGAUUCAAUAUGUUUAGUCCUUCCACCUUUGUGAUUCCACACUCCUAAUCAUAUGAGCUAAAAUAUUGCACAUUCAAUAUUUGGAAGAUAUAAACAAAACAUAAAUAUAGAUAGAUUAUCUUUCCAUUAGGUUGAGCGAUCUGAUAUGACAAAUGCUUAAAAUGUUACACUCAUGAUCUUAUUAUCCAACUUUGUCUUGCUCACUAUGCUUAAGGUUAGAGAGAACAAAUACACUUUAGGUUCUGUUGGUGUUUUCCACCAACAGGGCCCAUGCACUUGAUCUCUGCCUUGUCUCUAUGAGCAGGUACACUUCAAGCAAAAUAUGAAGGAGUUUUACAACUCCCAGACUCCACCAAGUGAUGAACCUAGAUCUACGAGCACAAACACACUAGAGAUACUAGACACUCAGGCAAUCACUGCCCUGAGAUGCUUGAGGACGUAACUACUGGAGUAACCCCAUUGUGGAAAUAAUUACUGACCUUCUGCCGGUCAAGAGAGACAAUCCAGGACGCCCCGUCAUCCCGAUCUCCAUCGGCAUGGUGGACUUCCUAGAAGCACUCUGUGACUUUGGCUCCAGUGUCAACAUUAUGCCCAGGCUUGCAGAUCGUACGCUAAGUUUCCCAAAGGGAAUAGUGAAGAACCUCUGCGUCCGAGUUGGUACCUUGUACGCCCGAGCAGACUUCGUGGUGAUAGAGACCGGUUCUGAUGAGAGGGCACCCAUCAUUCUAGGGAGGCCAUUCCUGAACACCUCGGGAGCAGUCAUCCACGCUAGUGCUGCCAAGAUCAGUUUCUACAUCAAGGGGAUGAAGGAGACGUUUUCCUUCAAAAACAAAACUACACAAAUCUCAGAGCAAUCCUGACAUGAACCAAGGAAAGGACCAACAGGAGGAACAGGAACAAGCAAGUGUGGACCGAGUCAGCUAAGAUGGUCACUGCAGUUCAAGGAGGUCAAGAUCAUCGACUUAAGUCACCAUUCUUGACCAAAAAAGGACGACCUAGUCACCUAUCAGCUCCUAUUCAGAACCAUGCCCCUAAAACCGAUAUACAUUCAGCUCCUGAUGGCAGAUCAGACAUUCUGAAAGAUUGAAGGUUAUUGAUAUGGGAGAAGACGAGUACGAUCCACCCAUCAUCCUUGGAAGGUCGUUCCUCAGCACCGUUAAAGCAAUCAUCUACAUUGAAACCGGAGAAGUCCACAUGAGAGAGGAGGUACGCUGCUAUUUUAAUGACCCUAACUAUAUAGUUGAAGACUCUAAGCAGGUCAGGACAAGAAGAAGACAAUGCAACCGCAACCAGAGGAGGCAAAUCAUCAAGGACGGAUGGGCAAACUACGAAGGAGAAGUAGUAAGGUCUGAAGACAUACAACUUGAACAGAACUAUCCUGAGGAGACCGUAGCACCGAAUCAGGUGUGCAGAGAGAAGAUAGUUAUACAUGAAGAGGAGAAGCCGCCGGAACCACCGACUACGCCAUCCAGCGAAUCAUAGGACGACUGAGAAAACGGAGAGUCCCGUUCGGAGGACUUAAAAAUACCGAACGCCUUGCCAAGAGGUAAACUUGGUAGUUAUCUUUUCCUUUCAAUUAUUUUAAAAUAGUUUGCUUAGUUAAUCAGGUUUAUAUCAUCUUGAAAAGAAAAUAAAAAUGUUAAAAAUAGUAAGCCCCAUGUGAGUAUGCUCAUGGCAUAAAACCCAUAAGUACAUUCACUGUGGUGGCAUAAAAAUAAAAUAAAUAUAUUCCUGUCCUAUAAAAAUAAAAAUAUAAAAAUAAAUUUAUGAUCCUACUAAAGAGAGUAACAUUUAUUGAGGAGACUCAACAUGAUAAAGGCUAAAUAUUUAUGCUAACACUUAACUAGUUUCACAAAGCUUUGUUGUCUAUUUGAGCUCCACAGAAUUCAAGGAUCAAAGAAGUCUAGCAGACGGAGGACAUCCUAAUCGCUGUCAGAGUGCUGCCGACAUUCAAAUACACCUCCGCCACCUGCUAGCUACAUCAGAAGAAAUUAUGUCAAAAUCCAGCUUGGGGGAGAGCACCCCCAUUUAUCCAGCUAAGUGUUCUACUCACGUUUAUACUUUACUCGAAUAAUAAAAAGAUGCAUAAUCAUAAAAACCCAAAUAAAGAUUUUGUGCUUAUAUAUAUCUUUGCUUAGUUUGCUAAAUAAAUAAAUAAGUAAAGUUUGCUAUGAACCCUCAUGAUAAGCUCUCACAUGGAAAUGAUGAAUAGUUGCUCUGCCAUGUACCUAGUUUUCAAGUUUAAGCUUUCUCUCAAGUUUAGGCAUAACUGUUAUUAAUUAAGAUUUGCUCUAAACCUGAACUUGUGGGAAGAGUACUUGAUCUAAAGUCUAAAUCAUUAACGGAUAUGAUAUGGGAAGGUUGAGCUGCUGUUUAUCUGUUCCUAGAGAUGCUAGAAUUCUGGAGAAUUUUAUCUUUGAAAAUCUUUAAAAUAACACAUGAUGUGUUCCUGUAUGAUGAGAGUUUAAAUUCCUACCACAGCCAUAUAUAUACAUGCUUGCUAGACUUUGAGCCACUCAUUUACUUUUUACUGCUUAUGAGCAUUGAGUGUGGUCAAGCUGUGUAGACCCCUAGGAGCUUGUCAUGUGGUUAUAUCAAGAUUCACUUGCACGUUCACUCACACAUGCUACUUCUACUCCGGAAGUACCAUCCACAUAUAUCCAUUUCCAUCUCCAGAACCACCCAAAAAUAUUCUACUCCUAAUCCGGAAGAGAAUAGCCAAAAACAUUUCUGUUUUCCCCUGUGAAAUAAAUGCUCAAGUUAUCUUGUUACUACCACUUGCUAUAUUAUUUCAUGAGAUGAGUGCUCUCUAAAAAAAAGAAGAAAAAAAAAAGAAAAAAAGAGAUACGAGAAAAUAAAAAGGGGCAAGUGCCCGGAACCUCGAAAGAAAAAAAAGUGAGACGAGAGGUAAAAAUGGACAAGUGCCCGACAGUAGAACUAGGGGUACAAGAUACCCACGUGAAAGAAAAAGAAAAUAUAGAGCAUCUCAUUCUCCUUAAAAAGUUUCAAAAGAGCAAGAAAGGUAUGUAUCCCCUCAAAAGAGCAUAAGUAGAAUUAGACUUUCACCAUUGUUAUCACCAUCAUCACCAUACACCAUUCAUUCACCACACAUGCACAUCUUGAUUUGACUUAUUGACUUGUUCUUCUGGAUCCAUGGUUUGACUAUGCAAUAAAUGUUUUGUACGUAUGUAUUAGCUGUCUCCCACCUAUGAGCUCCAGAUAUCAAAACCUUAUUAGAGUAGGGUGAGAGAGAAGGCAAUACCACUAUGCCUCAUACCAAAAAUACCACAUACUUUGAGAGAAGGCAUACACCAUUAAUGCCUUGGUAAGGAUCCAGAAAUACCACAAAAGAGAGACUAGAGAGAGUCAUAUAAGGAAUCUCUGAGUUUUAUUUGAAAAUCUGCAAAAACUCCAGAGCUAUAGCUGAUCAAGAAUAAGAGACAUGGUGCUUGACUAGACCGUUCUAUCUUUUAACUACUCAAGACAGAAGUGACGGUUACAAGUCCCAUGGUGAAAGGUAAAUGAGUAAGUUUUAAGUCUUAACAGUUUACUCUAACCCAGAGAUGAUAUCUUGUUUGAACGCCUUUGUAUCUUUAAGGCAAGAAAACACUGUAGAAACUCUUGAGUUCAUCUUUACUCAGGGACGAGCAAAGGUUAAGCUUGGGGGAGCUUGUUGACGGUCCUUAAUGCACACAUUUAACCAUCAACUAAUCAUGGAAAAGGAUCGAAAUGUAACCAACACCCAGACUUAGGGUUUUAUCUGACAGAAUUCCACGAGUUUUGGUGUUUGUCUAUUUCUGUAGGGGGUUAUCAGGAAAUACGGAAGAAAGGCCCACACGUCGGGAUUACAUAGAGAUAUUAAUGUGCCGCGCAAUUUUCUAUCAUCUAGAAGACUCCAGAAGCCACGGGAACGAACGGGAGGCCGAGCGGGCCCGGAGGCAGGGCGCCCGCCCUCCUCUGCUGGCCAAUCAGCACGAGUCUCGGGGAUUAUGCCCCACGGACUCUAAGGAUCGAGGAAAAUCACACGAUGAAGGUCGGUUUGAUCGGAUGGUGGAGAAUAACGUGGAAAUUCCUUGGGAGCUACUCUUCCUAGAUUUCUUGGGAGCUACUCUUCCUAGAUUUCUUGGGGGCUACUCUUCCUGGACUAUAUAAGCAGACCCCCACCAGCCCCUGGAGGCAUACCUCUUCUGCAAAAUCAAAGUUAGGGUUUCAAUUCUUCAUCCAAGUAGAGAGGAUCCCUCUAGUUCUUCUAGUUCUACUUCUAGUUCAUCUAGAUCUAGUUCUAGUUCAUCUAGUUCUAGUUCUAGUUCCUCUAGUUCUAGUUCUAGUUAGUUCUAGUUGUAAUCUAGAAAAUAGGGAGAGAGAAGAGGAGAGCGGAGGAGGAGCCGGAUCUGUUGGAUCUUCCUCAACAUUGUACUUUUGCAGCAACUGGUUCGUCCUUCAUCGUUCUCCAGGUUCUUCAACUCAUAAUUUCUGAGUUCUUUAAUUACUUUUAUUUACAUUCAAGUUAUUUAUUGGAUUCCCGCUUGCAUCAAGUGCUCUAGUCUUUAUAACGCUAGAGUAGUAAUUAAUAGAUUAGACGUGGUGUUUAGUCUUGCGAUUACCUGGAAUUGCACCCAAUCCUGCGGAUUGUUGUGGUAGCCUUAGGGUAGUGACAGCCCUAACGGUCGAUGUAUUCCACCUAGUUCGGAUCGGUGUUUGUAGGACCGUAGUCAGACCUUCCUAGCCCCCUUCUCAUCUCUUUCUGUGGUUAGUGCUCUGAUGUCCCGAUAUAGAUAAUCUUGAAGUAAUUCUUGAUUCUUAGAUCAACUAGAGAACUCUUAGGAAACUUCCUCUCUUCCCAUCAAAAAUAAUUAUAUAGUUAUCCUUGGGCGAUCUUGGAUCUUAAUUAGUACACUCACGUUCCCUGUGGAAAAUUGAUACUCUGGAAUACUCCCGGGUGAAGGCUACAUCGGUAUCCGUGCGCUUGCGGAUUUUUCUGUUUGCGUUUAAAAUACCCAACAAGCUUUCUGGCGCCGUUGCCGGGAAACGGUAGCUGUGCUAGUUUCGAACCAAGUCGUUCGUGUAUCCUUUUUCUUUUCCUUUUCUUUUACCACACUCACCUUACCAUUUUCACCACACCACAUGGAUUUCACUCUAAGCAUUAAUGAGCAUGGAAUUUAUUUCAUUGCCACUUCAUUUACUCCAUGCUCAUAUGCAACAUCUUCACAAUCCAUUGGUCUCUCCAACAUCACCACAUUCGAGAUCUCCAACCCCCACUUCCUUUCUAUUUAUAAAAACUUUAAAAGGGCGGUUGUCGAUGCAUAUGUCUAUAUGAAAUAUUGCAGAUCUCGUUGAGUUGAUCUUGAUAUAGGUCAGCGUUGGAAGGGAAACCACUUCGCCGACAUAAAUUGACGGUUUCCCAAGGACAAGCUUAGUGUCCUAAAACAAGCAUUGAUCAGAUCGUAACAUGAGCUUUUAAUUAUUUACAACAUUACCUUGAGUGUUGAGCAUAUAAGGAUAAUUGUAAAAAAUUCCUUCGGGUAUUCUUGUCACUAACCUUUCCAGGAUUGGAGCAAGAAGAUCGGAUGAAUGACAAGCACAAGGUAUGUCCAACCAAUCAUCAUACAACAUUGAAUUAAAUUCAUCCAAACUUGAAUUUUGCAAAAUUUAAGCUUGGGGGAGUACUUUACAUAAAAACAUCCUUUUCCCUGUUGCUAUGUUGGUUGUCCUUACCUUUAAGACAUGCUCAAUUUUGUUAAAUACUAAUCACACUACUUCAUCUCCACUUGAGUAGAUCUCUAUAAAUGCUUUCAUGCUACCUUUAUUUGCUUUAUUAUAUGUCUAGGCUUGGAGUAGUUUCAUUUAUCUCUUAAUUAAGCAUGGUGCUUAGUUUAGGAAUGAUGAUCUUACUUCCAAAGGAUUUUAAAUUAAGCAUGAUGCUUAGGUUAAAAUUCCCUCCUAAAUCAAAUUAGACAUGGUGUCUAGGUUGAUCUUUGAGCCGAUAGUAUGCUAUAGUAGAUAUUGGAUAUUUUGUUGGACUAACCCCUGCAGGAAAACUUUCAAUAUCGACCUGGGAAGUCCUGAGACAAACUCACAUAGGAGACAAAGAGAGAGGCACAUGAAGUUUAACAAUUUGCACGAGGAAGGCAUAGCUCAUAAGAGAUGAUCCAAGGAGGGUGCUACAAACACGAUGCACAACC